rnacentral:rRNA from 1 species
UACAGAAGAUGUAAGCGUUAUCCGGAAUUAUUGGGCGUAAAGCGUCUGUAGAUGGUUUAAUAAGUUUAAUGUUAAAGAUUAGAGCUUAACUUUAAAACGGCAUUAAAAACUGUUAAACUUGAGUACGAUAGAGGUAGAGGGAAUUUUCAGUGUAGCGGUGAAAUGCGUAGAUAUUGGAAAGAACACCAACGGCGAAAGCACUCUACUAGGUUGAUACUGACAUUGAGAGACGAAAGCCAGGGGAGCAAAACGG